CGAUAGUGAAAUAGUAGCGUGAGGGAAAGGUGAAAAGAACCGUGAAUAACGGAGUGAAAUAGAUCCUGAAACCAUACGCCUACAAGCGGUCGGAGCACGUUUACGUGUGACGGCGUGCCUUUUGCAUAAUGAGCCUACGAGUUACCGUUGCUAGCAAGGUUAAGGACUUCAGGUCCGGAGCCGUAGCGAAAGCGAGUCUGAAUAGGGCGCUUUAGUUAGCAGUGGUAGACGCGAAACCGUGUGAUCUACCCAUGGGCAGGUUGAAGCUGUGGUAACACACAGUGGAGGACCGAACCCGUUGACGUUGAAAAGUCUUGGGAUGACCUGUGGGUAGGGGUGAAAGGCCAAUCAAACUUAGAGAUAGCUGGUUUUCUGCGAAAUCUAUUUUAGUAGAGCGUUUAAAUAACUUUUUUAAAGGUAGAGCUCUCGAUAAAUGAUGGGGACUUAACGUUUUACUGAAUUUAUUGAAACUUCGAAUGUUAAUUAUAAUGAAUUUAAACAGACAGACUGUGAGUGCUAAGAUUCAUGGUCAAAAGGGAAACAGCCCAGAUUACUAACUAAGGCUCUCAAAAAUAAUUAAGUGGAAAAAUUGUGAAAAAAUGUUAACAACCGAAAAGUAGGCUUAGAAGCAGCCAUCUUUUAAAGAAAGCGUAACAGCUCAUUGGUUUAGUUUUUUUGCAUUGAAAAUGUAUGGAACUAAAAUUAUUUGCCGAAGUUGUAAAUUUAUCAAGAUUAAAUGGUAGCAGAACGUUCUGUAAGUUUAAGAAGUUUUAUAGUGAUAUAAAAUGGAAACAUCAGAAAUGAAAAUGUUGGUAUGAGUAACGACAAACAAUGUGCAAAACAUUGUCGCCUUAAGUUCAAGGUUUCCAAAACAAGGCUAAUCCGUUUUGGUAUUUAAUUUAUUGUUAAUCGGUCUCUAAGGAUAAAAACGAAAGUUUUAGUUCAAUGAGGAAAAAAUUAUUCUUUAUUUUUCAAAAGUGACAAAAUAUAAAUAUUAUUUUGAUUUUAUGGUUUGAAUUAAAGUUUUAUAGUGUUUUCUAGAAAUAGCUUUUGAAUGAAUUAACCGUACCCUAAACCGACACAGGUGGUCAGGUUGAAAAUACUAAGGCGU
rnacentral:rRNA from 17 species